GUGUAUGCCAUAAGCUUAUUUUGCAAAAAUAAGUACGGUAGUUUAUUUUACCCAUACAUU
rnacentral:tRNA from 1 species